AACGUACCGCAGCCAGAGCUGGGCUUAUACACCCUGCACAAAGAGGAGGUAGAGGAGAAAGCCUGAAAAAACCACGGGAAUAGCUGAUUUCCUGCUACAAAAAUCCACAAAGGAGCAGAUCCACCACCCGCAGAUGGCAGGAGCUCCAUCUGCUCCUUCACAGGAGAUGUGCUGCAAGCGGUUGCGUGGUCUCAGCCGCUCCAGAUUGCUAACAGCCCUUGAAGAGUUUUUAGGCCGAUGCUUAAGGGAUUGAAAGCACACACACCAUUUUCUGGAACAGUACAGGCGAGUUUGCAGCUGCAGGAGGCUGGGCUGUUGCAGUAAGUUUCCAGGUCUGUCAAAGGUCUGUUGCAU